ensembl:lincRNA
UUCUAAAACACUACAGACCCUAUAAGGCAUUGCGACAGCUAAGCAUGUGCAAUGCACGUUCGCAUUGUUUCCUGUUUUUAAAACGCUGCUCGAACCGUGAGGUCCGGGGGUUGGUGUUUGGUGUCUGGUGUCUUUGGUUUUUAAUGAGAGGUCGGUGGUACCUUCUUGUCCAGCAGACAAAUUCAAGUACGGAACCUUUCUGGUAAUGACGCGUAGCAACAGUGCUGCUCUUUAAGCGUCGACAGUAAUGGAAGAUGAUGUGAAGCCACUGCUUGCCCCAGAGAGGGCUGGAGAGAACCACGUGGAGGCAGAUCACAACAACUU